rnacentral:rRNA from 1 species
GACUCCUACGGGAGGCAGCAGUGGGGAAUAUUGCACAAUGGGGGAAACCCUGAUGCAGCGACGCCGCGUGGAGGAAGAAGGUCUUCGGAUUGUAAACUCCUGUUGUUGAGGAAGAUAAUGACGGUACUCAACAAGGAAGUGACGGCUAACUACGUGCCAGCAGCCGCGGUAAAACGUAGGUCACAAGCGUUGUCCGGAAUUACUGGGUGUAAAGGGAGCGCAGGCGGGAGAACAAGUUGGAAGUGAAAUCCAUGGGCUCAACCCAUGAACUGCUUUCAAAACUGUUUUUCUUGAGUAGUGCAGAGGUAGGCGGAAUUCCCGGUGUAGCGGUGGAAUGCGUAGAUAUCGGGAGGAACACCAGUGGCGAAGGCGGCCUACUGGGCACCAACUGACGCUGAGGCUCGAAAGUGUGGGUAGCAAACAGGAUUAGAUACCCUGGUAGUCCACACCGUAAACGAUGAUAAGUGGGUGUUGGAGGAUUGACCCCUUCAGUG